UACGUAGGUGGCAAGCGUUGUCCGGAAUUGUUGGGCUUAAAGCGCGCGCAGGCGGCCUCUUAAGUCUGAUGUGAAAGCCCCCGGCUCAACCGGGGAGGGCCAUUGGAAACUGGGAGGCUUGAGUAUAGGAGAGAAGAGUGGAAUUCCACGUGUAGCGGUGAAAUGCGUAGAGAUGAUGGAGGAACACCAGUGGCGAAGGCGACUCUUUGGCCUAUAAUCUGACGCUGAGGCGCGAAAGCGUGGGGAGCAAACAGG
rnacentral:rRNA from 1 species